rnacentral:rRNA from 1 species
ACGCUGGCGGCACGCCUUAUACAUGCAAGUCGAACGAAGUAGCAAUACUUAGUGGCAGACGGGUGAGUAACAUGUGGGUAUCUUCCCUUUGGUGAGGAAUAACACGAGGAAACUUGUGCUAAUACCUCAUAAGUCUUUACGGAGAAAGCUUUAUGCGCCAAUGGAUGAGCCCGCACUUGAUUAGUUUGUUGGUGGGGUAAUGGCCUACCAAGACUUUGAUCAAUAGCUGAUUUGAGAGGAUGAUCAGCCACAUUGGGACUGAGACACGGCCCAAACUCCUACGGGAGGCAGCAGUAAGGAAUCUUGCACAAUGGAGGAAACUCUGAUGCAGCGAUGCCGCGUGAGUGAAGAAGGCCUUUGGGUUGUAAAGCUCUUUCGUCGGGGAAGAAAAUGACUGUACCCGAAUAAGAAGGUCCGGCUAACUUCGUGCCAGCAGCCGCGGUAAUACGAAGGGACCUAGCGUAGUUCGGAAUUACUGGGCUUAAAGAGUUCGUAGGUGGUUAAAAAAGUUGGUGGUGAAAUCCCAGAGCUUAACUCUGGAACUGCCAUCAAAACUUUUUAGCUAGAGUAUGAUAGAGGAAAGCAGAAUUUCUAGUGUAGAGGUGAAAUUCGUAGAUAUUAGAAAGAAUACCAAUUGCGAAGGCAGCUUUCUGGAUCAUUACUGACGCUGAGGAACGAAAGCAUGGGUAGCGAAGAGGAUUAGAUACCCUCGUAGUCCAUGCCGUAAACGAUGUGUGUUAGACGUUGGAAAUUUAUUUUCAGUGUCGCAGCGAAAGCGAUAAACACACCGCCUGGGGAGUACGACC